rnacentral:tRNA from 1 species
AGUAAAGUCAGCUAAAUGAACUUAUAGGCCCAUACCCAAAAAAUGUAGGUUAAAAUCCUCCUAUACUA